rnacentral:rRNA from 1 species
GAUGAACGCUGGCGGCGUGCCUAAUACAUGCAAGUCGAGCGAACGGACGAGAAGCUUGCUUCUCUGAUGUUAGCGGCGGACGGGUGAGUAACACGUGGAUAACCUACCUAUAAGACUGGGAUAACUUCGGGAAACCGGAGCUAAUACCGGAUAAUAUUUUGAACCGCAUGGUUCAAAAGUGAAAGACGGUCUUGCUGUCACUUAUAGAUGGAUCCGCGCUGCAUUAGCUAGUUGGUAAGGUAACGGCUUACCAAGGCAACGAUGCAUAGCCGACCUGAGAGGGUGAUCGGCCACACUGGAACUGAGACACGGUCCAGACUCCUACGGGAGGCAGCAGUAGGGAAUCUUCCGCAAUGGGCGAAAGCCUGACGGAGCAACGCCGCGUGAGUGAUGAAGGUCUUCGGAUCGUAAAACUCUGUUAUUAGGGAAGAACAUAUGUGUAAGUAACUGUGCACAUCUUGACGGUACCUAAUCAGAAAGCCACGGCUAACUACGUGCCAGCAGCCGCGGUAAUACGUAGGUGGCAAGCGUUAUCCGGAAUUAUUGGGCGUAAAGCGCGCGUAGGCGGUUUUUUAAGUCUGAUGUGAAAGCCCACGGCUCAACCGUGGAGGGUCAUUGGAAACUGGAAAACUUGAGUGCAGAAGAGGAAAGUGGAAUUCCAUGUGUAGCGGUGAAAUGCGCAGAGAUAUGGAGGAACACCAGUGGCGAAGGCGACUUUCUGGUCUGUAACUGACGCUGAUGUGCGAAAGCGUGGGGAUCAAACAGGAUUAGAUACCCUGGUAGUCCACGCCGUAAACGAUGAGUGCUAAGUGUUAGGGGGUUUCCGCCCCUUAGUGCUGCAGCUAACGCAUUAAGCACUCCGCCUGGGGAGUACGACCGCAAGGUUGAAACUCAAAGGAAUUGACGGGGACCCGCACAAGCGGUGGAGCAUGUGGUUUAAUUCGAAGCAACGCGAAGAACCUUACCAAAUCUUGACAUCCUUUGACAACUCUAGAGAUAGAGCCUUCCCCUUCGGGGGACAAAGUGACAGGUGGUGCAUGGUUGUCGUCAGCUCGUGUCGUGAGAUGUUGGGUUAAGUCCCGCAACGAGCGCAACCCUUAAGCUUAGUUGCCAUCAUUAAGUUGGGCACUCUAAGUUGACUGCCGGUGACAAACCGGAGGAAGGUGGGGAUGACGUCAAAUCAUCAUGCCCCUUAUGAUUUGGGCUACACACGUACUACAAUGGACAAUACAAAGGGCAGCGAAACCGCGAGGUCAAGCAAAUCCCAUAAAGUUGUUCUCAGUUCGGAUUGUAGUCUGCAACUCGACUACAUGAAGCUGGAAUCGCUAGUAAUCGUAGAUCAGCAUGCUACGGUGAAUACGUUCCCGGGUCU